ACUGUGGCGUAAGGAAUUCCGGUCCGGCGGUCGCGGCGGCGCCGAGGUCCUUCUGAUCGAGGCCCCCUCCGUCCCGUGGCGGGUGUCAGGCCCCUGCGGGCGCCGCCCGGCGGCCGACCAGGGCUUCCGGGAGUCGGGUUGUUUUGUAGCGCAGCCCAAAGGCGGGUGGUAAACUCCAUCCAAGGCUAAAUACCGGCACGAGACCGAUAGAGCACAAGUACCAUGAGGGAAAGUA
rnacentral:rRNA from 1 species